GACGAACGCUGGCGGCGUGCUUAACACAUGCAAGUCGAACGGAAAGGCCCCCUUGUGGGGUACUCGAGUGGCGAACGGGUGAGUAACACGUGAGUAACCUACCCUUGACUUUGGGAUAACUUCAGGAAACUGGGGCUAAUACCGGAUAGGAGCUCCUGCUGCAUGGUGGGGGUUGGAAGGUUUCGGCGGUUGGGGAUGGACUCGCGGCUUAUCAGCUUGUUGGUGGGGUAGUGGCUCACCAAGGCUUUGACGGGUAGCCGGCCUGAGAGGGUGACCGGCCACAUUGGGACUGAGAUACGGCCCAGACUCCUACGGGAGGCAGCAGUGGGGAAUAUUGCACAAUGGGCGGAAGCCUGAUGCAGCAACGCCGCGUGCGGGAUGACGGCCUUCGGGUUGUAAACCGCUUUCGCCUGUGGCGAAGCGUGAGUGACGGUAAUGGGUAAAGAAGCACCGGCUAACUACGUG
rnacentral:rRNA from 1 species